CCACUGAAAUUAUUUAAGGGCCGCGGUAAUCUGACCGUGCAAAGGUAGCAUAAUCGUUAGUUUUUUAAUUGGAAUCUUGUAUGAAUGAUUGGACAAGGGGAAGACUGUCUCUUUAUUUGUUUUUGAAUUUAACUUUUAAGUGAAAAGGCUUAAAUGAUUUAAAAAGACGAUAAGACCCUAUAAAGCUUAAUAGAUUAGAUUAAUUAAUCGAAUUAGUAAAUAAGGAUUAAUUGGUUGAUUAUAUUUUGUUGGGGCGACAAUGGUAAAAUGUUUAUUAACUACUAAAUUUUAUGACAAAUAUUAGUGAAUAAGUAAUUAAAUGAGCCUGGGAUAAGAUUAAAAGAUUAAGUUACUUUAGGGAUAACAGCGUUAUUUUUUUUGAGAGUUCUUAUCGAAAAAAAAGUUUGCGACCUCGAUGUUGAAUUAAAAUGUCUACAUAAUUGCAGAAGUUGUGAUAGUAGGUCUGUUCGACCUUUAAAAUUUUA
rnacentral:rRNA from 1 species